CAGUAAGGAAUAUUGGUCAAUGGACGCAAGUCUGAACCAGCCAUGCCGCGUGCAGGAAGACGGCCCUACGGGUUGUAAACUGCUUUUGUACCGGAAUAAACCUUUGGUCGUGACCGAAGCUGAAUGUACGGUAAGAAUAAGGAUCGGCUAACUCCGUGCCAGCAGCCGCGGUAAUACGGAGGAUCCAAGCGUUAUCCGGAUUUAUUGGGUUUAAAGGGUGCGUAGGUGGCCUAUUAAGUCAGGGGUGAAAGACGGUAGCUUAACUAUCGCAGUGCCUUUGAUACUGAUGGGCUUGAAUACACUUGAGGUAGGCGGAAUGUGACAAGUAGCGGUGAAAUGCAUAGAUAUGUCACAGAACACCAAUUGCGAAGGCAGCUUACUAAAGUGUUAUUGACACUGAGGCACGAAAGCGUGGGGAUCAAACAGGAUUAGAUACCCUGGUAGUCCACGCCCUAAACGAUGAAUACUCGAUGUUGGCGAUAUACGGUCAGCGUCUAAGCGAAAGCGUUAAGUAUUCCACCUGGGGAGUACGCCCGCAAGGGUGAAACUCAAAGGAAUUGACGGGGGCCCGCACAAGCGGAGGAGCAUGUGGUUUAAUUCGAUGAUACGCGAGGAACCUUACCCGGGCUUGAAAGUUAGUGAAUGUGACAGAGACGUCACAGUCCUUCGGGACACGAAACUAGGUGCUGCAUGGCUGUCGUCAGCUCGUGCCGUGAGGUGUUGGGUUAAGUCCCGCAACGAGCGCAACCCCUAUGUUUAGUUGCCAGCAUGUAAUGAUGGGGACUCUAAACAGACUGCCUAUGCAAAUAGAGAGGAAGGAGGGGACGACGUCAAGUCAUCAUGGCCCUUACGUCCGGGGCUACACACGUGCUACAAUGGAUGGUACAGCGGGCAGCUACCUGGCAACAGGAUGCCAAUCUCGUAAAGCCAUUCACAGUUCGGAUCGGGGUCUGCAACUCGACCCCGUGAAGUUGGAUUCGCUAGUAAUCGCGUAUCAGCAAUGACGCGGUGAAUACGUUCCCGGGCCUUGUACACACCGCCCGUCAAGCCAUGGAAGCUGGAAGUACCUGAAGUCGGUAACCGCAAGGAGCCGCCUAGGGUAAAGUCGGUAACUGGGGCUAAGUCGUAACAAGGUAGCCGUACCGGAAGGUGUGGCUGGAAUACCUCCUUUCU
rnacentral:rRNA from 1 species